rnacentral:rRNA from 1 species
GACGACCUCUGGCGGCGCGCCUAACACAUGCAAGUCGAACGGAGCUUAGAGAGCUUGCUUUUUAAGCUUAGUGGCGAACGGGUGAGUAACGCGUGAGUAACCUGCCCUAGAGUGGGGGACAACAGUUGGAAACGACUGCUAAUACCGCAUAAGCCCACGGUACCGCAUGGCACUGAGGGAAAAGGAUUUAUUCGCUUUAGGAUGGACUCGCGUCCAAUUAGCUAGUUGGUGAGGUAACGGCCCACCAAGGCGACGAUUGGUAGCCGGACUGAGAGGUUGAACGGCCACAUUGGGACUGAGACACGGCCCAGACUCCUACGGGAGGCAGCAGUGGGGGAUAUUGCACAAUGGGGGAAACCCUGAUGCAGCGACGCCGCGUGGAGGAAGAAGGUUUUCGGAUUGUAAACUCCUGUCGUUAGGGACGAUAAUGACGGUACCUAACAAGAAAGCACCGGCUAACUACGUGCCAGCAGCCGCGGUAAAACGUAGGGUGCAAGCGUUGUCCGGAAUUACUGGGUGUAAAGGGAGCGCAGGCGGGAAGACAAGUUGGAAGUGAAAACCAUGGGCUCAACCCAUGAAUUGCUUUCAAAACUGUUUUUCUUGAGUAGUGCAGAGGUAGAUGGAAUUCCCGGUGUAGCGGUGGAAUGCGUAGAUAUCGGGAGGAACACCAGUGGCGAAGGCGGUCUACUGGGCACCAACUGACGCUGAGGCUCGAAAGCAUGGGUAGCAAACAGGAUUAGAUACCCUGGUAGUCCAUGCCGUAAACGAUGAUUAAGAGGUGUUGGGGGAUUGCCCCCCCUCAGCCCCGCAGUUAACACAAUAAGUAAUCCACCUGGGGAGUACGACCGCCAAGGUUGAAACUCAAAGGAAUUGACGGGGGCCCGCACAAGCAGUGGAGUAUGUGGUUUAAUUCGAAGCAACGCGAAGAACCUUACCAGGUCUUGACAUCCGAUGCAUAGCACAGAGAUGUGUGAAAUCCUUCGGGACAUCGAGACAGGUGGUGCAUGGUUGUCGUCAGCUCGUGUCGUGAGAUGUUGGGUUAAGUCCCGCAACGAGCGCAACCCUUAUUGCCAGUUACUACGUUAAGAGGACUCUGGCGAGACUGCCGUUGACAAAACGGAGGAAGGUGGGGAUGACGUCAAAUCAUCAUGCCCUUUAUGACUUGGGCUACACACGUACUACAAUGGCGUUAAACAAAGAGAAGCAAGACCGCGAGGUGGAGCAAAACUCAGAAACAACGUCCCAGUUCGGACUGCAGGCUGCAACUCGCCUGCACGAAGUCGGAAUUGCUAGUAAUCGUGGAUCAGCAUGCCACGGUGAAUACGUUCCCGGGCCUUGCACU